UACGUAGGGUGCGAGCGUUGUCCGGAAUUAUUGGGCGUAAAGGGCUCGUAGGCGGUCUGUCACGUCGGGAGUGAAAACUCGGGGCUUAACCCCGAGCCUGCUUCCGAUACGGGCAGACUAGAGGUAUGCAGGGGAGAACGGAAUUCCUGGUGUAGCGGUGAAAUGCGUAGAUAUCAGGAGGAACACCUGCGGUGUAGACGGCUUACUGGACGGUAACUGACGCUGAGGCACGAAAGCGUGGGUAGCAAACAGG
rnacentral:rRNA from 1 species